GAAAAUGUAAUAUUUAAGCUAUUUAUUGGUAAGAAGAAUGUCUCUGCUACAUGGAUAUGGGCUGUUUUUGACAAUACAAUGCACUUAUAUCGGGUAGUAGCACCAUUAAGUCAUGCUAAAUUACUGAAAUCUUCAAAAUUUUAGCAUUUUAGUUAAAUUUUAGACGGUUUCCGUCUUAAAUGGAAGUGGCCGCAUUCGUGUUCAUUCAUAAUAUUGAAAUGUAAG
rnacentral:lncRNA from 1 species